AUUGAACGCUGGCGGAAUGCUUUACACAUGCAAGUCGAGCGGCAGCGCGGGGCAACCUGGCGGCGAGCGGCGAACGGGUGAGUAAUGCAUCGGAACAUGUCCAUGUCGUGGGGGAUAGCCCGGCGAAAGCCGGAUUAAUACCGCAUACGCCCGAGAGGGGAAAGCAGGGGACCGCAAGGCCUUGCGCGAUUGGGUUGGCCGAUGUCCGAUUAGCUUGUUGGUGAGGUAAAGGCUUACCAAGGCGAUGAUCGGUAGCUGGUCUGAGAGGAUGAUCAGCCACACUGGGACUGAGACACGGCCCAGACUCCUACGGGAGGCAGCAGUGGGGAAUUUUGGACAAUGGGGGCAACCCUGAUCCAGCCAUUCCGCGUGAGUGAAGAAGGCCUUCGGGUUGUAAGACGUCUUUUGUUCCGGUAGCGAAACGGG
rnacentral:rRNA from 1 species